UACGAAGGGGGCUAGCGUUGCUCGGAAUCACUGGGCGUAAAGCGCACGUAGGCGGACUCUUAAGUCAGGGGUGAAAUCCUGGAGCUCAACUCCAGAACUGCCUUUGAUACUGGGGAUCUCGAGUCCGGAAGAGGUGAGUGGAACUCCGAGUGUAGAGGUGAAAUUCGUAGAUAUUCGGAAGAACACCAGUGGCGAAGGCGGCUCACUGGUCCGGUACUGACGCUGAGGUGCGAAAGCGUGGGAGCAAACAGGG
rnacentral:rRNA from 1 species